AUACAGAGGGUGCAAACGUUGCUCGGAUUUACUGGGCGUAAAGCGCGUGUAGGCGGACUCGCAAGUCGGUUGUGAAAUCCCUGGGCUUAACCUAGGAACUGCAUCCGAAACUGCGUGUCUUGAGUAAUGGAGAGGGUGGCGGAAUUCCCGGUGUAGAGGUGAAAUUCGUAGAUAUCGGGAGGAACACCAGUGGCGAAGGCGGCCACUUGGACGGUGACUGACGCUCAUGCCCGAAAGCGUGGGGAGCAAACAGGAUUAGAUACCCCAGUAGUCC
rnacentral:rRNA from 1 species